rnacentral:rRNA from 1 species
CCUACGGGGAGCUGCAGUGAGGAAUAUUGGUCAAUGGGCGCGAGCCUGAACCAGCCAAGUAGCGUGAAGGAUGACGGCCCUGCGGGUUGUAAACUUCUGGUAAGAGGGAAGAGCAGAAGACGGUACCGCGUGAAUAAGCCACGGCUAACGACGUGCCAGCAGCCGCGGUAAGACGUAGGUGGCAAGCGUUGUCCGGAUUUACUGGGUGUAAAGGGCGUGCAGCCGGGAAGAAAAGUCAGAUGGGAAGUCCCGCGGCUCAACCGCGGAACUGCCUUGGAAACUGUUUUUCUUGAGUACCGGCGCGGUCAUCGCACUUCCUUGUGUAGCGGUGACAUGCGUAGAUAUCAGG